rnacentral:tRNA from 1 species
GGGGAUCUAGCUCAGUGGUAUGAGCACCUGCCUGGCAAGCAUGAGGUGUGAGUCUGAUUCCUG